rnacentral:lncRNA from 1 species
AUGAAGAGAAACCUGCUGAAUACUGGAGACCUCAGUCUGACCCUGAAAUACCCCACAGACAGAGACAGUAACACCUACACCUGCACCAUCUACAACAGGGAGGGACACAUCCUGAUGAAGAAACAAGUAGAGCUGAAGGUCAGAGCCUGUCAGGUGGAGGUGGAGGAGGGGGAGGAGUCUGUCCAGCUGCCCUUCAGAACUACACCUGACCUGCCCGAGGAUGCUAAACUGGAGUGGAUCUCUUUUGAACCAUCAUACAGGACAGUCCACGUGUAUGAGAACAGAUCUGACCAGCCUGAAGAACAGCACCAGGAUUACAAAGACAGAACAGAGGUGAAGAAAGACCUGCUGAAGACUGGAGACCUCAGUCUGACCCUGAAAUACCUAAAAGAGACAGAAGCAGGAGAAUACUGGUGUGGAGUCAUCAACAAGAACAGAGAUGCCCUGAGAAUGAAAACAGUGAAGCUCAAAGUCAAAGGGAGAACUCAAACAUCAAAGCACAUCAAAGAUGAAACAGAGGACAUUAGGAACAGAAGCAGCUCCACUGAGCUGACUCUUCUAAAGCUUCAUGAAUCUGUUUGAUCUGUUGGUCAAUCUUUGAUUAUUGAUCUGAUGUGACUUUGGAUCUGAGACUAAAUGGAGGUGAAGGAGCUGAUGGAGGACGGAUGAAGACAGGAGGACGCUUCGUCAGCUUCUUCUACACUGUGACUCCUCCUACUGACUCACACACACAGUCUACACACUCACUAUUGAUGACUAUUCAUCAGUGAUGAGGAGGGAUGCCGUCCCCCUUGUUAGCAAAAUUAUCAAAAAGCAUCCCCCUCGUUAACCUGACAUCAGUCUCCAUCCACUAGUAGCAGAUAGUGUGUUACAAAUCAGAAGCGGACGCGAUCCACUCCGACGCACAAUGAAGUCAAGCCGGGCACGGAUGCUUUGCGAGCCGGCUGCCCGGUUUAUUUUUGACGGAGGCUGCAACAAGCUGCACAGAGCAGAUCGUGCCAACCGGAAGACACAGGAAAGGCAUAGAGCAUCCGGUCAAUUUUCAAAAUAAAACACCAUGUGCAGACUCCCAAUUGUAUAAAAACGAAAUAAUGACCAGAUCAAUAAAUGGUUGCUAUCAAUGUUCUAAAACCAAAAUGUCACUUUUUGUUUGCAUUUUAAGUGUGUCUGUUCAGAACUUGGUGGCUUGUGUUAUGUUGCCAAUUGUCAUUUUUGUGCUGGUUUGUAGUUUAACCAUUAGUGAGGUAGCUGUAACAUUUCCUGACACCAACUAUUUUAUCCCAGUUGAAAAGCACUCUGCUGGACAAACUAUGUCAUUACGCCAGUUUUUAAUUACCCCAAGCAUGUUUUUCUGCUUUAUACUUUUAAAGGAGUCAUCACCCGGAAAUCGCAAUUUCUCUUGUUAAAUCAUGCAUAUUGGUGUUGGACCUCUGUUGAAACUUGCCUGAAAAGCUGGAGUUUGAAAGUGG